rnacentral:rRNA from 1 species
AUUGAACGCUGGCGGCAUGCCUUACACAUGCAAGUCGAACGGCAGCAUGAUCUAGCUUGCUAGAUUGAUGGCGAGUGGCGAACGGGUGAGUAAUACAUCGGAACGUGCCCUGUAGUGGGGGAUAACUAGUCGAAAGAUUAGCUAAUACCGCAUACGACCUGAGGGUGAAAGUGGGGGACCGCAAGGCCUCAUGCUGUAGGAGCGGCCGAUGUCUGAUUAGCUAGUUGGUGAGGUAAAGGCUCACCAAGGCGACGAUCAGUAGCUGGUCUGAGAGGACGAUCAGCCACACUGGGACUGAGACACGGCCCAGACUCCUACGGGAGGCAGCAGUGGGGAAUUUUGGACAAUGGGGGCAACCCUGAUCCAGCAAUGCCGCGUGUGUGAAGAAGGCCUUUGGGUUGUAAAGCACUUUUGUCCGGAAAGAAAUCGCACUUACUAAUAUUAGGUGUGGAUGACGGUACCGGAAGAAUAAGGACCGGCUAACUACGUGCCAGCCGCCGCAGUAAGAC